UUACCGGCUUGAAAGGAAGGAAACGUCAGCAUCCUAGGUGCUGCAUGGCUGUCGUCAGCUCGUGCCGUGAGGUGUUGGGUUAAGUCCCGCAACGAGCGCAACCCCAUCUUAGUUGCUAGCAGAUGAGACUCUAAGAAACUGCCUACGCAAUAGGAGGAAGGCGGGGACGACGUCAAGUCAUCACGGCCCUUACGCCGGGCCACACACGUGCUACAAUGGGGUACAAGGGGCAGGGUGACCGAUGCAAUCUCUAAACCAUCUCAGUUCGGAUUGGAGUCUGCAACUCGACUCUAUGAAGCUGGAAUCGCUAGUAAUCGCGAUCAGCAUGCGCGGUGAAUACGUUCCCGGGCCUUGUACACACCGCCCGUCAAGCAAUGGAAGCUGGGGGCCGAA
rnacentral:rRNA from 1 species